rnacentral:piRNA from 1 species
UACUGGCAAUGGGUGUCAAUGCUGUCAGG